UCUGUUUUAAUUACAAAGUAGAUUAAAUUCAAGACAUUUCAAAAUAUUUAAGAAGAUUAUUUAUUCCAACCUGUUGCAAAAGCUCAAAUCUGUAUUUAACAUUCUCCUCAUGUUUGCACUAAUGGCAGUAGAUCUAUAAUCCAGUGGUCUUCAGCCCUGCCCAUGGAGAUCUGCCUUCCUGCAGACCCCUCCUGAAUCCAACCUUAAUCUUCUUCACUUGAUCCAACUAAUUACUGCCUUUUAGAAGUGUCUGGUUGGCUGAAAGAUACAGCCUUGGAGAUCAAUGGUCAUUAGUUGUGCUGUGAGGAGGACAAGUUCAUCAGUGUUACCAGCCUCAGAAACCACAAGUUAACAGCACCC